rnacentral:lncRNA from 1 species
CCACACUCCGGUAGACCCCAGGAGGGACCGGCGUGGGCCGCCGUUAAUCUACCUCAGCUCUUUCACGGAGGCGCACCUCCUAGUUCCUCCUACUCUGCGGGGUCCUUCUCCCGUCCUCGGGAUCGCCACCACACAAGCGUGCGUGGCCUCUGAACAGUUAACCUCGUGGAUUCGGGCUGAAGAAGGUGCUGCUCGCGGAACCGGAGCGCCCGGCGGCGAGGCCUCUAGGCGGAGCCCCGCCCCGCGGCCGGCUCCUUGCCUCCCAUUGGUCCGAGCUCCCGUCCGUCCGCCCAUGGGCCGGCGCCGCUUUCCUGGCUACCUCGGAACGUGGGGCCGCCCAGGCCAGUGCAAGCCAGAGGUGGUGCAGGCUUCAGAAACUCGGAGCUGAGAAGGGCCGGGCGGCGCCGGGGCUGAGCAUCGCGGAGCGAGCUGCAGGGCCGCGGCCUCUCCGCCCGAAGCACCACCUGUCGCUGGGUGAAACGUCUGGUAAGGCAUGGUACGGUACGCAGUUGAGGGCGGCCUGGCGCUGCG